CGGUGACGUCACGCACCCCGUUCGGUCCCCCGCCUGUCCGCGCGCGCACACGCUCGGCCCCCCGCGGCAGCGGGACCCAUCAGGGGCGGCGCGCGAGCCCCGCGACUCGAGUGGGGGGGUUGGCCACGCCAAGCAGGCGGGGAGACGGGAAGCGCACCCCGAGUCGGCUCAGAUCACAUGGGCUGGGUGUGGGGGAGGGGGAGGCGCGGGGAGCUCGGCCCGGGCUGUUCGCUGGGCCGGGAGGCGGCAGCGCCCCCGGGCCCCCCUAGUUCGGACUAUUCAUUCAAGUUCCUGGGGCCCUGCGCCCGAUUCGGAGGUGGCACCCGCCGCCCUCCCUGCCUCUGUGCCCCCGUUUCCAGCCACCGCGCGGAAAUUUAGGUCAAGGACGCCGGGAGCACACCCACACCCUGCGCUCCCAGGGCAGUCCUCGAGAACCCCGGGAUCUGGGGGGCUUGCGGAUGGAGGAGACCCUCCUGCACGAACACCAGCCACAAGUUUUAUUUUCCCUUCGCGCGGCAAGUUCUCUGGCUCCCGCUCCACACUGGCACGUCCUGCACGGCUCCCCGCCCUUCCCCGCCAGAGGAUUAGGAGACAAUGGAAUUCACUCAUCACCAAAACUAUGCCGUGUCCAUUGUGGGUUUGGAGACAUUUGGAAAAAUCUCAACACAGCCAAAGCUUUUGAGUGGCAGAAGUCAGUGGCUACCUUCCUGAUGGAGACUUGAACAAACUGUUAAGUGGUGAGCUGGGAGGAGACCUGAUGGGGCGGGGCCCCGAGCACUGCAGUGUCCAAGCCAGAGACUGAUAAAGGACUAAAGGAGAAGGCUACUACGUCACUGCACUGUUUUUCUUAAGAAUGUUCUGGCAAACUUCUGGUCUGGGAUAGCCAUUUCAUAGGUUGAUUAUUUGGAAAUCUGGUGUUUUGGCUAACGAGUUGUGUUCCUCUUCGCCUCUUAUGACUCUCCUUUCUCACCUCCAGUUCAAAAUGACUGCAAGCAGCCAAGCCACCAACUCCGUCUUGAUGAAAGGGGCCGGGCUCCCAGAAGAAAAUAGCUUUGCCUUUCAACUCCACCUGGAAACGGUUGACAUGGCGCUACCUUCACUCAAGCCUCUCCACUAGCCUUGGCGCUUCCCCCAUCUCUGCCAAGGCUGGCCCCUGCCAAGCCAAUCUAAAUAUCACAGCUGGAAGUACAGGGUCUCCCCCGCCCCCAACCCUUUCUCCCACACUCUAUACGUUGUACCUUGGGACCUUUCAACAUUCUCUAUGGUCAUUCUGAACACCCGCACCCUGCCCAUCCACUACGGCAACAGGCUCACAGACCCACAACUACACAUUAGAUUUUUUAAAAAAAACUUUUGUUCCCCCUUUACACAAUACAGGAGGUGGCCACAGCAGCCGGACACAGCACCUCAACAGUGUUAACUCUAUUAUGUAUUUGUAUCUCCAGAAGGCCCUUCCAACAAAAUCAACAAAAUUGCCACUUAAUAGAAGAAACGCGCACUUUGGAGGACUGUGGGUGAGCGCGCCCUCUACUGGUGAUCAGAGGAAGUGCUUUUUACUGGGUUUCCUGUAGCUGAUGCCAAGACCCACCACGAUAGCCCAUGCUGCAAUUUCUACAAUUAAUACCAGUCAGCUAAAAAAAAAAAAAAAAAAAAAAAACCUAAAAGGAAGGAAACUUCAAUAAGUUGGAAUGGAAUCUGCUUAGGCAAACAUGGUAUUGACACUUACAGAAGGACAGAAGGGGAAAAAGGAGCGAGAAAGAAGUAUUAGGUGUAACGAGAACAAAGGGUAGACUGUAGCGUAAAUUGCUCGCUGGGCAAGACACUCUUGCUAAAAAUAAAACUGCCUGGAGAGGACAUCACAAAUAAAGAUGUGCUGUGUCCAUGGCAGGAGGAGCCAGCAGCCUUGUGAAUCAACGCUACAAUUAGAACAAUACCAAAACGGGAUCAUCAUCAAAGGCAGGUAGUCAUAAAUGUGACAUGAAUUUGAAGUGACCCAAAAAAGUUAAUAAUGUCAGCAUCCUCUUACUUUCAAGGGUGGGACCUCUCAACAGAGACCGGCCCCAUUUCUGGGUUCUAAGCAGGCUCUCGAGGUUCCCAUCAUCUGCUCGGCCAAUGUCACAUGAGAAAGGAAGGCAGGGCCUGGUUUUGUGUCUACUAGUGUAGGUCACAGAUAAUUGCAAGCAUCAGGGGGAAAAAAAAAUCAAUUGCCCAAGUGGCUGAUGGGAGGAGGCCUGGCCUGACAGAAGGCAUUCAUUAGAAAGGCCCUUGUGUGAGUGGGGGGGGGGGUGAAGUGGGGGAUGGGGGUGGGGGAAGGUUAGCCCAUCAUAGGCUUGAUGUGAGCCCACUGCACCGGGAGGCUGUGGAGAACACAAGUGCAAUCUUCAGCUCUAUUAAUAGUAUAGCCGAGUGUGCAAGAACGGAGGCGGUAACUCCAGUCUGUGCCAGCAGGUCAGGCCACACACAGUUUUAUGCUCUGUCCUGCAGACUGUGUUUUAAGUCUGGCUGGCAAAUUUAAGUUUCUCCAGACAAUCGUGAGGAUUGGACUUUAGUCUUUAGACAAUGCCACGAUAAGCCUCACAAUCCUUUCACAACGGGCAAUAUCAGAAUGGCUCUCUACCAAAUCCGUGGCGCCUCAGGAGCCAGGACUCGGAAUUGUGCUUCUGGUAUUUUGAGCUUGAGUGUCCCUAGCCGUAUAAAGGGACCAUAAUUACCCGAUCUGCCUUCAACAUCAUUUGGAGAAUUGUCUGCUCAUUGGAGCCAGAGUGUGUAGAUCAUCUAUGGAGGAGUCCACUGGGUACCAGGCAGAGGGGACAUGAAGACAAGUCAUGCCACUUGUACUUGUCAUUGAGGAGCCUUAAGUCCAAUCAGGACAGACAAGCCCACCAACAGAUACUUUGUAUCCAGUGUGACAGACAAGGAUGGGCAUGUGUGAUGGUUUGAACUGUGAUGCAAUUAAAGUCCUAAAAGAGUAAUGGAGAAAACCAGAGCUCACGUGGCAUAGGCAUUUGCAAAUACAGGAGGAAAGGGAGCCACUGGGUGUGAGAGAGGAGAACCCAGGGAUGGAAAAAC
rnacentral:lncRNA from 1 species